CCUACGGGAGGCAGCAGUGGGGAAUAUUGCGCAAUGGGCGAAAGCCUGACGCAGCGACGCCGCGUGAGGGAUGAAGGUCUUCGGAUCGUAGACCUCUGUCAGCAGUGAAGAACGGUCACUGUGCUAAUCAGCAGUGAAUUGACGGUACCUGAACAGGAAGCACAGGCUAACUCCGUAACAGCAGCCGCGGUAAUACGGCGGGUGCGCGCGUUAAACGGAAUGACUGGGGGUAAAGCGCUCGUAGGCGGUAUGUCAAGUCAAGGGUGAAACCGCCGCGCUCAACGUGGGAACUGCCUGUGAAACUGGCAAACGUGAGUGUGUGAGAGGUGAGUGGAAUUCCAGGUGUAGGAGUGAAAUCCGUAGAUAUCUGGAGGAACAUCAGUGGCGAAGGCGACUAUCUGGCACAUAACUGACGCUGAGGAGCGAAAGCGUGGGUAGCAAACAGGAUUAGAUACCCCAGUAGUC
rnacentral:rRNA from 1 species